rnacentral:rRNA from 1 species
UGGGGAAUCAUGGUCAAUGGGCGAAAGCCUGAACCUGCGACGCCGCGUGAGUGAUGAAGGUCGUAAGAUCGUAAAACUCUUUUCAGGGAUCUUAAAGCCUGUCUGUCAACAACAGGCAGGUCUGACUCUCCCUGGAAGAAGCCCCAGCCAACUACGAGCCAGCAGCUGCGGUAAUACGUAGGGGGCGAGCGUUAUUCGGAAUUACUGGGUGUAAAGGGUAUGUAGGCGGCCCUUCAAGUCGCGUGUCAAAGUCCAGUGCUCAACGCUGGGUGUGCACGCGAUACUGGCGGGCUUGGGGGCUGGAGAGGUGAGCGGAAUUCCCGGUGUAGUGGUAAAAUACGUAGAGAUCGGGAGGAACACCAGCGGCGCAGGCGGCUCACUAGACAGUUUCUGACGCUAAGAUACGAAAGCGUGGGGAGCAAACA